rnacentral:rRNA from 1 species
UUUAUGGAGAGUUUGAUCCUGGCUCAGGAUGAACGCUGGCGGCGUGCCUAAUACAUGCAAGUCGAGCGAACGGACGAGAAGCUUGCUUCUCUGAUGUUAGCGGCGGACGGGUGAGUAACACGUGGAUAACCUACCUAUAAGACUGGGAUAACUUCGGGAAACCGGAGCUAAUACCGGAUAAUAUUUUGAACCGCAUGGUUCAAAAGUGAAAGACGGUCUUGCUGUCACUUAUAGAUGGAUCCGCGCUGCAUUAGCUAGUUGGUAAGGUAACGGCUUACCAAGGCAACGAUGCAUAGCCGACCUGAGAGGGUGAUCGGCCACACUGGAACUGAGACACGGUCCAGACUCCUACGGGAGGCAGCAGUAGGGAAUCUUCCGCAAUGGGCGAAAGCCUGACGGAGCAACGCCGCGUGAGUGAUGAAGGUCUUCGGAUCGUAAAACUCUGUUAUUAGGGAAGAACAUAUGUGUAAGUAACUGUGCACAUCUUGACGGUACCUAAUCAGAAAGCCACGGCUAACUACGUGCCAGCAGCCGCGGUAAUACGUAGGUGGCAAGCGUUAUCCGGAAUUAUUGGGCGUAAAGCGCGCGUAGGCGGUUUUUUAAGUCUGAUGUGAAAGCCCACGGCUCAACCGUGGAGGGUCAUUGGAAACUGGAAAACUUGAGUGCAGAAGAGGAAAGUGGAAUUCCAUGUGUAGCGGUGAA